rnacentral:rRNA from 1 species
GAAAUACCACCCUUUAAUGUUUGAUGUUCUAACGUGGACCCGUGAUCCGGGUUGCGGACAGUGUCUGGUGGGUAGUUUGACUGGGGCGGUCUCCUCCUAAAGAGUAACGGAGGAGCACGAAGGUUGGCUAAUCCUGGUCGGACAUCAGGAGGUUAGUGCAAUGGCAUAAGCCAGCUUGACUGCGAGCGUGACGGCGCGAGCAGGUGCGAAAGCAGGUCAUAGUGAUCCGGUGGUUCUGAAUGGAAGGGCCAUCGCUCAACGGAUAAAAGGUACUCCGGGGAUAACAGGCUGAUACCGCCCAAGAGUUCAUAUCGACGGCGGUGUUUGGCACCUCGAUGUCGGCUCAUCACAUCCUGGGGCUGAAGUAGGUCCCAAGGGUAUGGCUGUUCGCCAUUUAAAGUGGUACGCGAGCUGGGUUUAGAACGUCGUGAGACAGUUCGGUCCCUAUCUGCCGUGGGCGCUGGAGAACUGAGGGGGGCUGCUCCUAGUACGAGAGGACCGGAGUGGACGCAUCACUGGUGUUCGGG